AAGGCAGUUUAUCACCGCUCGGCACUUAACACCGUUCAGAAGAACCGAUAGUUCCCUUCAAGAACUGGAUGAUACAUUUUCGCUUUGAAUUAUUUAUCACCUCAACUUGCCCAGUAUGUUAUAAAGAUGAUCCAAAGGACAAACCGGAAUUAACUAUUAAUUAUGUACGUGAUAUUCACUGUUCUUCGGCUUCUAGCCACUAUUCCGUUGUGAUUCUGAUCGUCAUAUUGACCGCUCGCGGUUGGCUUAGUUUACUUGUUUCAAAGUAUAGUAAGUACUUUACCGCGCAGUACUGAAUCUGAUUACGUUAUAGUACAAUUUUGUUUUUUACUUGAUGUGGUAGAUGGUGAUUGAUUGUUCAUUGAGUUAUCCUUGGUCAUAGCAGCUCGGAAUGAAGUUGCAUCCUGAUUUUGGGUAUCCGUUCAUGAGCUCAUCCCAGAUUUUCUGUUAUCUAUAAACUUUACUGGGACUACACUGGAUUGAAUUUCGCGCAGUUGAUUUCGAACUAAACAAUAAACACGUUAUUUAUGCCUUUUAUCACUUUUUUGGGAAAUUGAGAACAGUAAAAAAAAGGUUCAAAAUGAAACUCUGGAACUGUCUCAGUCCAGCCGUUGAAUUCGAAUUAUGCUGAACGCUCGCACCGGGAUAUCAAUGGACAUCAACACAAUAGAGCAUAUGCCCGAGCCAAAAAUUUUCAACAAAGCAAACCAGCACAGCAGUGAGAGCACCUUGCGACACCAACCUGUUGAUCCAUUUCAAAAUAGGCAAUCGUGCACCAGAACUCAGGCAUUGACUGCGUCAUGAUGGCGUUCUGGAAGCGAGCAUCUUCCCACAUCUGCUGUUGUUGAGCACGCAAAUGCGGAAUCAUGGGAUCGGCCAAUUCCAGGGCCACAGCACUGUUUUGGCUUGACACUGUCCAGUAGCCCGGUGAGAGCGGCGGCCCAACAAGGCCGGUGCCGCUCGGUGGGAACAGUUGUUCAGAGGAUGUCGGCGACAUGGCGUGGCUGGACUGGCCGUGUGGAGAGUGAUCGUAGCGGGGCA